GCAAGUCGAGCGGAAACGAAGAAUAGCUUGCUAUUCUGGCGUCGAGCGGCGGACGGGUGAGUAAUGCUUGGGAAUCUACCUAGUCGAGGGGGACAACAGUUGGAAACGACUGCUAAUACCGCAUACGACCUACGGGUGAAAGGGGGCCUCUUCUUGAAAGCUCUCGCGACUGGAUGAGCCCAAGUGGGAUUAGCUAGUAGGUGGGGUAAUGGCUCACCUAGGCGACGAUCCCUAGCUGGUCUGAGAGGAUGAUC
rnacentral:rRNA from 1 species